GCUUAGAAGCAGCCACUCAUUAAAAGAGUGCGUAAUAGCUCACUGGUCGAGUGACCCUGCGCCGAAAAUUUAACGGGGCUAAACAGUAUACCGAAGCUUGGGAUUCCGUAAGGGAUGGUAGGAGAGCGUCGAAUGAGGGGUGAAGUCAUAGCGGAAGCGGUGGUGGACUUCAUUCGAGUGAGAAUGCCGGAAUGAGUAGCGCGAAAUGUGUGAGAAUCAUAUUGGCCGAAAGUCUAAGGUUUUUGGAGGAAGGUUCGUCCGCUCCAAGUAAGCCGGGAGCUAAGGCGAGGCCGAAAGGCGUAGUCGAUGCACAUACGGUGGAUAUUCCGUAGCCGCCGAAAGAUUUAAGAUAAGUGACACCCUGGAAAGGCAUGACCCGGGCGAUGGUUGCCCCGGGCGUAAGGGACCGAAAUUAGAGUAGGGAAGCAUGUUAGACCGGGGGCGAGAAAAGCUUAUUGUAUAUCUAAGGCGCCCGUACCGCAAACCGACACAGGUAGAUGGGAAGAGAAUUCUAAGGCCAACGGGAGAAGGGUAGUUAAGGAACUCGGCAAAUUGGUCCCGUAACUUAGGGAAAAGGGACGCCACGGAGACGUGGCCGCAGUGAAUAGGCCCAGGCGACUGUUUAGCAAAAACACAGGUCUCUGCUAAAUCGAAAGAUGAAGUAUAGGGGCUGACACCUGCCCGGUGCUGGAAGGUUAAGAGGAGAUGUGCAAGCAUUGAAUUGAAGCCCCAGUAAACGGCGGCCGUAACUAUAACGGUCCUAAGGUAGCGAAAUUCCUUGUCGGGUAAGUUCCGACCCGCACGAAUGGUGUAACGAUCUGGGCACUGUCUCAAUUACCCGCCCGGCGAAAUUGUAGUACCGGUGAAGAUGCCGGUUACCCGCGACAAGACGGAAAGACCCCAUGGAGCUUUACUGCAGUUUAAUAUUGGGUUUCGGUAAUUUAUGUACAGGAUAGGUGGGAGACUUGGAAACUAGCACGCCAGUGUUAGCGGAGUCACCCUUGGGAUACCACCCUUAAGUUGCUGGAAUUCUAACCUGCGGCCGUGAAUCCGGCCGGGGGACAUUGUUAGACGGGCAGUUUGACUGGGGCGGUCGCCUCCAAAAAGGUAACGGAGGCGCUCAAAGGUUGGCUCAGCACGGACGGAAACCGUGCCUUAGAGUGUAAACGCGUAAGCCAGCCUAACUGCGAGGGUGACGGCCCGAGCAGUAACGAAAGUUGGAGUUAGUGAUCCGGCGGUAUGAGAGUGGAAUUGCCGUCGCUCAACGGAUAAAAGCUACCCUGGGGAUAACAGGCUGAUCUCCCCCAAGAGUCCACAUCGACGGGGAGGUUUGGCACCUCGAUGUCGGCUCAUCACAUCCUGGGGCUGUAUUCGGUCCCAAGGGUUCGGCUGUUCGCCGAUUAAAGUGGUACGCGAGCUGGGUUCAGAACGUCGUGAGACAGUUCGGUCCCUAUCUGUCGUGGGCGUAGGAUAUUUGAGGAGAGCUGUCCUUAGUACGAGAGGACCGGGAUGGACGCACCUCUGGCGCACCAGUUGUUCCGCCAGGAGCACAGCUGGGCAACUAUGUGCGGAUCGGAUAAACGCUGAAAGCAUCUAAGCGUGAAGCCGACUCCAAGAUAAGAUAUCCCAUAGUGUUAAACUAGUAAGACCCCUUGUAGACUACGAGGUUGAUAGGCUGCGUGUGUAAGCACGGUAACGUGUUCAGCUUGGCAGUACUAAUAGGUCGAGGGCUUGACCAU
rnacentral:rRNA from 1 species